AACGAACGCUGGCGGCAUGCCUAACACAUGCAAGUCGAACGAGACCUUCGGGUCUAGUGGCGCACGGGUGCGUAACGCGUGGGAACCUGCCUUUAGGUUCUGAAUAACUCAGAGAAAUUUGAGCUAAUACCGGAUGAUGUCUUCGGACCAAAGAUUUAUCGCCUUUAGAUGGGCCCGCGUUGGAUUAGCUAGUUGGUGGGGUAAAGGCCUACCAAGGCGACGAUCCAUAGCUGGUCUGAGAGGAUGAUCAGCCACACUGGGACUGAGACACGGCCCAGACUCCUACGGGAGGAAGAAGGGGGGAAUAUUGGACAAUGGGCGAAAGACUGAGCCAGCAAUGCCGCGUGAGUGAUGAAGGCCUUAGGGUUGUAAAGCUCUUUUACCCGAGAUGAUAAUGACAGUAUCGGGAGAAUAAGCUCCGGCUAACUCCGUG
rnacentral:rRNA from 1 species